rnacentral:rRNA from 1 species
AGCGAACGCUGGCGGCAGGCUUAACACAUGCAAGUCGAGCGGGCGCUUUCGGGUGUCAGCGGCGGACGGGUGAGUAACGCGUGGGAACGUGCCCUCUGGUUCGGAAUAACUCAGGGAAACUUGAGCUAAUACCGGAUACGCCCUUUUGGGGAAAGGCUUGCUGCCGGAGGAUCGGCCCGCGUCUGAUUAGCUAGUUGGUGAGGUAACGGCUCACCAAGGCGACGAUCAGUAGCUGGUCUGAGAGGAUGAUCAGCCACACUGGGACUGAGACACGGCCCAGACUCCUACGGGAGGCAGCAGUGGGGAAUAUUGGACAAUGGGCGCAAGCCUGAUCCAGCCAUGCCGCGUGAGUGAUGAAGGCCUUAGGGUUGUAAAGCUCUUUUAUCCGGGACGAUAAUGACGGUACCGGAGGAAUAAGCCCCGGCUAACUUCGUG